CCAGGAAGUAACGCGGAAGUCAGAAAACUUUUUUGGCACAUGCGCUGGCUGUAUCCAUUUUCCAGUCCAUGUUAUGUCAGUGUUCCAUUACACCAGACGUUUCUCCUGGAAUUGUUCCACUUCAACUCAUACUGUGAUGUGCGUUACCACUGUUCAUGAUGUUGGAUUUGACAGAACGGAAAGAAGAAAAAACUGUUUGUUAUAGGUGACUUUCGGAGACACAUUUCAGACUAAAGUCAAUUGGGGAAAGCUUGUUCCACUGGGAAAUUGUGUCCCCAAUUUAGAAAAGGUUGAUUUUUGAGUUGUUAGUUAAGUUAAAAACACAACUCCCAAGUGUCACAAAGCUGCACUGGCACAACAAUUAAUCAAUUUGAAAGUUGCUUGUUGUUGUUAAAGGAACAUCCCCAAAUAGCAAAGACCAAGCACAUAAAAAAGAGGAAAAAGAAACAAGGUAUUGCUGGAAGCAAUACUUUGGAAAGGGGGGCGUUGAGGUGAACUUGGGUGGUGUUUGUUUUAAGGCAAGUUUACACAAAAGAUUCAGAACAAUACAAGGUUACACUUUAAACUACUUGCAAAAAAAAGUGGUUUGCACCAUUAAAACAUGCCAGUUUACUCCACUGCAACUGGACGAGACAGUGUAUCGUAACCAUUCUUCUCUUCUGUGCUUCUGUCAGCUUCGUGUGGCGCAGCUCCAUGCUGCCUUCACAGGAACGGGACAUUCCAUUUCUACGCUGAUGAUACCCAGCUGUAUUUAUCUAUAAAGCCAGAUGAAACUAAUCAGGUAGACAAACUUCAGGAUUGUCUUAAAGACAUAAAGGCCUGGAUGACUUAUA